rnacentral:rRNA from 1 species
GACGAACGCUGGCGGCGUGCUUAACACAUGCAAGUCGAACGGAAAGGCCUGCUUUCCCUUGUGGAUUGCGGGUACUCGAGUGGCGAACGGGUGAGUAACACGUGAGUGAUCUGCCCCCAACUUGGGUAUAAGCCUGGGAAACUGGGUCUAAUUCCCGAUAGGACUGCAGGGUGGUGCCUGUGGUGGAAAACGAUCUUCUAGUGGUUGGGGGUGAGCUCGCGGCCUAUCAGCUUGUUGGUGGGGUAAUGGCCUACCAAGGCGGCGACGGGUAGCCGGCCUGAGAGGGUGGACGGCCACAUUGGGACUGAGAUACGGCCCAGACUCCUACGGGAGGCAGCAGUGGGGAAUAUUGCACAAGGGGCGGAAGCCUGAUGCAGCGACGCCGCGUGGGGGAUGACGGCCUUCGGGUUGUAAACUCCUUUCGACCGCGAGGAAGCCACCUGGUUGGAAGGGUGGUGACGGUAGUGGUAGAAGAAGCACCGGCUAACUACGUG